UACGUAGGGUGCAAGCGUUAAUCGGAUUCACUGGGCGUAAAGGGUGCGCAGGCGGCCGUGUGUGUGAGGCGUGAAAGCCUGGAGCUUAACUCCAGAAUUGCACCUCAAACUACAUGGCUAGAGCAUUGGAGAGGGUAGCGGAAUUCACGGCGUAGCAGUGAAAUGCGUAGAUAUCUGAAGGAACAUCAGUGGCGAAAGCGACUUCCUGGACCAAUACUGACGCUCAUGUGCGAAAGCGUGGGGAGCAAACAGG
rnacentral:rRNA from 1 species